GAUGAACGCUGGCGGCGUGCCUAAUACAUGCAAGUCGAGCGAACGGACGAGAAGCUUGCUUCUCUGAUGUUAGCGGCGGACGGGUGAGUAACACGUGGAUAACCUACCUAUAAGACUGGGAUAACUUCGGGAAACCGGAGCUAAUACCGGAUAAUAUUUUGAACCGCAUGGUUCAAAAGUGAAAGACGGUCUUGCUGUCACUUAUAGAUGGAUCCGCGCUGCAUUAGCUAGUUGGUAAGGUAACGGCUUACCAAGGCAACGAUGCAUAGCCGACCUGAGAGGGAGGUAGGGCACAAGUGAGAUGCGACACGGUGCAGGCUACGGCCGGAAGCAGCACUGGAGAAGGAGGUGGAAUGUGCGUAAGAGUGAAAUAUCUAAGGAGCGGGAGAGAUGAUUGUAUAAAGAAAGUAUAACUCUGUUAUUAGUAAAGAACAUAAAAGCAAGGAACUGCGCCAAUCCAGACGGUACCUAAUCGGAGAAACACCGCUAACUGCAC
rnacentral:rRNA from 1 species